rnacentral:tRNA from 1 species
GCGAUGGUGGUUCAGUGGUAGAGAUUCUUUGCCUUCCAUGCAGGAGAUCCAGGUUCUAUUCCUGGCUAAUGCA